rnacentral:rRNA from 1 species
AUUAGAAAACAUAAUAAAUUAAGAAGUUUAACUUUUGCUUGACUGAUUUGCUUACUGAGCUAUUUAUAUACUUGCUAUUGAAUAAAAAGUUGUAGUAUAGAAUUUUAAUUAUUUAGAGGAGAAUUGGAGCUUAGUUGGGAAAGUUUAAUACUGUGCCAGCAAACGCGGUUAUACAUUAUUUUUGAAAUUUUAUGGGUUAAAUAACUAUUGUGCAUGAAAGUAAAUGAGUGGUGAAAUACGCAUUAUGUUUUUAUUAAAAUAGAAAUUAAUAAGAUGGUAGAAUUUGAUUAAAAACUAGGAUUAGAUACCCUAUUAUUCAAGUUGUUAUGAUUGGUACUAUAAGAGAUAGAAGCUGAAAGGGUUUGGCGGCGUAUUAGUCAAAUUGGAGGAACCUGUAUGAUAAUCGAUAUUCCACGUAAAAUCUUACCUUAAUUAGUAUAAAUAGUUUGUAUAUCGUUGUCUAUAAUUAAAUUGAAAUAUUUUUAUUAAUUUCUUAUUGGAGUUAAGACAAAUCAAGGUGCAGCUAAUUUUAAGGUUAAUUAUGGGUUACAGUGUUAUUAUAAUUUUAUUGUAAGUUGAAAUACUUGUGUGAGAUUGGAUUUAAUUGUAAUAGAAAAUUAAAAUGUUUUUGUGAAUAUGCACUUGUAUGUGUACAUAUCGCCCGUCAUCUUCAUAGAUAGUGAAGAAAGUCGUAACAAAGUAAGUACACUUGAAAGUGUACUUAGA